UGUGGUGUGUAUGUGUGGUGUGUGUGAUGUGUGUGUGUGUGUGAGGUGUGUGUUUGGUGUUUGUGGAGUGUAUGUAUGUGAUAUGUGUGUGGAGUGUAUGUGUAUGGUGUGUGUGAUGUGUGUAGUAUGUGAGGUGUGUGUGUGGUGCAUGUUUGCGGUGUGUGGUGUGUGAUGUGUGUGGUGUAUGUGUGUGGUAUGUGAGGUGUGUGUGUGGUGUUUGUG
rnacentral:lncRNA from 1 species